rnacentral:rRNA from 1 species
AUUGAACGCUGGCGGCAUGCCUUACACAUGCAAGUCGAACGGCAGCGGGGACUUCGGUCCGCCGGCGAGUGGCGAACGGGUGAGUAAUGUAUCGGAACGUACCUUUCAGUGGGGGAUAACGUAGCGAAAGUUACGCUAAUACCGCAUAUUCUGUGAGCAGGAAAGCAGGGGAUCGCAAGACCCUGCGCUGAUUGAGCGGCCGAUAUCAGAUUAGCUAGUUGGUGGGGUAAAGGCCUACCAAGGCUACGAUCUGUAGCGGGUUUGAGAGGAUGAUCCGCCCCACUGGGACUGAGACCCGGCCCCGACUCCUACGGGAGGCAGCAGUGGGGAAUUUUGGACAAUGGGGGCAACCCUGAUCCAGCCCUGCCGCGUGAGUGAAGAAGGCCUUCGGGUUGUAAAGCUCUUUCGGCCGGGAAGAAAUCGCAUCAGCUAAUACCUGGUGUGGAUGACGGUACCGGAAUAAGAAGCACCGGCUAACUACGUG